rnacentral:rRNA from 1 species
AGAGUUUGAUCCUGGCUCAGGAUGAACGCUAGCUACAGGCUUAACACAUGCAAGUCGAGGGGCAGCAUUUUAGUUUGCUUGCAAACUAAAGAUGGCGACCGGCGCACGGGUGAGUAACACGUAUCCAACCUGCCGAUAACUCGGGGAUAGCCUUUCGAAAGAAAGAUUAAUAUCCGAUAGUAUAUUAAAACCGCAUGGUUUUACUAUUAAAGAAUUUCGGUUAUCGAUGGGGAUGCGUUCCAUUAGUUUGUUGGCGGGGUAACGGCCCACCAAGACUACGAUGGAUAGGGGUUCUGAGAGGAAGGUCCCCCACAUUGGAACUGAGACACGGUCCAAACUCCUACGGGAGGCAGCAGUGAGGAAUAUUGGUCAAUGGACGAGAGUCUGAACCAGCCAAGUAGCGUGAAGGAUGACUGCCCUAUGGGUUGUAAACUUCUUUUAUAUGGGAAUAAAGUUUUCCACGUGUGGAAUUUUGUAUGUACCAUAUGAAUAAGGAUCGGCUAACUCCGUGCCAGCAGCCGCGGUAAUACGGAGGAUCCGAGCGUUAUCCGGAUUUAUUGGGUUUAAAGGGAGCGUAGGUGGACUGUUAAGUCAGUUGUGAAAGUUUGCGGCUCAACCGUAAAAUUGCAGUUGAAACUGGCAGUCUUGAGUACAGUAGAGGUGGGCGGAAUUCGUGGUGUAGCGGUGAAAUGCUUAGAUAUCACGAAGAACUCCGAUUGCGAAGGCAGCUCACUGGACUGCAACUGACACUGAUGCUCGAAAGUGUGGGUAUCAAACAGGAUUAGAUACCCUGGUAGUCCACACAGUAAACGAUGAAUACUCGCUGUUUGCGAUAUACAGUAAGCGGCCAAGCGAAAGCAUUAAGUAUUCCACCUGGGGAGUACGCCGGCAACGGUGAAACUCAAAGGAAUUGACGGGGGCCCG